AUUGAACGCUGGCGGCAUGCCUUACACAUGCAAGUCGAACGGCAGCACGGGUGCUUGCACCUGGUGGCGAGUGGCGAACGGGUGAGUAAUACAUCGGAGCAUCUCCUGUAGUGGGGGAUAGCCCGGCGAAAGCCGGAUUAAUACCGCAUACGAUCUACGGAUGAAAGCGGGGGACCUUCGGGCCUCGCGCUAUAGGGUUGGCCGAUGGCUGAUUAGCUAGUUGGUGGGGUAAAGGCCUACCAAGGCGACGAUCAGUAGCUGGUCUGAGAGGACGACCAGCCACACUGGGACUGAGACACGGCCCAGACUCCUACGGGAGGCAGCAGUGGGGAAUUUUGGACAAUGGGCGAAAGCCUGAUCCAGCAAUGCCGCGUGUGUGAAGAAGGCCUUCGGGUUGUAAAGCACUUUUGUCCGGAAAGAAAUCCUUGGCCCUAAUACGGUCGGGGGAUGACGGUACCGGAAGAAUAAGCACCGGCUAACUACGUG
rnacentral:rRNA from 1 species